rnacentral:misc_RNA from 1 species
AGUGCAGAAAAUAAAACCACUAGGAAUUUGAGAUUACAAGUCUUAUAGGUGUGUAAGAGUGAUGGCCUAUCAGGUAUUUCAGCAAAACAGGGAAAACAAAGUUAUACUUCUAAUUUGGCUUGUUUAAUUAUUAAAACGAUCCAAGCGAUCUUCUUUGGAGCAGUUUCAGAUCCAUGUUACUUUUAUUUUCUUGAAGUGGACUGAAACAAAGGAUACAACUUUUUGUUUGAACUUGAGGAAAGGUGCAUGCUUAACCAUGUGUGUCCAUAUCUAUAAGUUCAUACAUAGUUUACAUG